GACGAACGCUGGCGGCGUGCUUAACACAUGCAAGUCGAGCGGUAAGGCCCUUUCGGGGGUACACGAGCGGCGAACGGGUGAGUAACACGUGGGUGACCCGCCCUCAGCUCUGGGAUAAGCCUGGGAAACCGGGUCUAAUACUGGAUAUGACUCCAUGACGCAUGUUGUGGGGUGGGAAGCCUUGUGCGGCUGAGGAUGGGCCCGCGGCCUAUCAGCUUGUUGGUGGGGUGAUGGCCUACCAAGGCGACGACGGGUAGCCGGCCUGAGAGGGCGACCGGCCACACUGGGACUGAGACACGGCCCAGACUCCUACGGGAGGCAGCAGUGGGGAAUCUUGCGCAAUGGGCGAAAGCCUGACGCAGCGACGCCGCGUGAGGGAUGACGGCCU
rnacentral:rRNA from 1 species